UACGUAGGGGGCGAGCGUUGUCCGGAUUUAUUGGGCGUAAAGAGCUCGUAGGCGGUUUGGUAAGUCGGGUGUGAAAUCUCCACGCUCAACGUGGAGGGGCCACUCGAUACUGCCAUGACUCGAGUCCGGUAGAGGAGUGUGGAAUUCCCGGUGUAGCGGUGAAAUGCGCAGAUAUCGGGAGGAACACCCGUAGCGAAGGCGGUUCUCUGGGCAUUACCUGACGCUGAGGAGCGAAAGUGUGGGGAGCGAACAGG
rnacentral:rRNA from 1 species